rnacentral:sRNA from 1 species
UUUUUUAAUCAUAUUCAGUAAAAAUUGUUUUGUAGGUACACCACCUGAAACUCACCAGUCACCUCAUCUUAGCCUGAAGGAUAUCACCAAUGUCUCCUUGUAUCCUGUUGUGAAAAUCAGAAGACUUUCUCUUUCUCCAAAAAAGAAUAAAGCAAGCCCAGCAGUGGCUCUGCCUAAACGUAGGUGCACAGCCAGCGUGAACUAUAAGGAGCCCACCCUCGUUUCGAAACUGAGAAGAGGGGACCCUUUUACAGAUUUGUGUUUUUUGAAUUCUCCAAUUUUCAAGCAGAAAAAGGAUUUGAGACGUUCUAAAAAAAGUAUGAAACAAAUGCAAUGAAGGUUUUGUUGGAUAUUGUUUAAAUUCAAUCUACACCUCUUUCUGUUGCUUCAGGAGAGGAUCUGUAAGAGUACACAAACGGAGUGAGCCAUUGCCAUAGAAUAUUCUCUUGACAGGACCCUAGCUCAUAAACAUUUCUUCAGAACUAUACUUCAAAUGGGAUGCUUUGUAUUAAAACUUUAAUAAAUUUAAUUUAUUUUUUCUUUUGAAUAUAAAUAACUGAGCUUAAACAUUAUCAUCAUAUCGAUUUCUUAUGCUGCCUAAACCUCUUAAUUUUUUAAGUCAAAAUAUAUCUUUUUUUUUUUUUUUGGAGGCGGAGUUUCAUUCUUGUUGCCCAGGCUGGAGUGCAAUGGCGUGAUCUCAGCUCACCGCAACCUCUGCCUCCCAGGUUCAAGCAAUUCUCCUGCCUCAGACUCCCGAGUAGCUGGGACUACGGGCAUGUGCCACUACGCCCGACUAAUUUUGUAUUUUUAGUAGAGACAGGGUUUCUCCAUGUUGGUCAGGUUGGUCUCGAACUGUCAUCUUCAGGUGAUCUGCCCACCUCAGCCUCCCAAAGUGCUGGGAUUACUGAGCCACUGCGCCCAGCCCGAAAUGUAUCUUAUACAAACAUUGUAGAAAUGAAUAAUGAUUACUCAAAUUAAGAUAUUUU